rnacentral:lncRNA from 1 species
GCCCCCCAAGUAGCUGGGAUUACAGGCGUCCACCACCACACCCGGCUAAUUUUUGUAUUUUUAGUAGAGAUGGGGUUUCACCAUGUUGGCCAGGCUGGUCUAGAACUCCUGACCUCAGGUGAUCCACCCACCUAGGCCUCCCAAAUUGCUGGGAUUACAGGCAUGAGCCACCACGCCAGGCCAAAUCUGAUUCUUAAUAAAACCUUACAAACAAGUCUAUCCAAUCUUACUUUGAACAUAAGACAAAAUUUCCAUAAAUGUUUUAUAAUUUUCUGUUAAACAGCAGAUCAGCUCGCUAAGAAAGCCCUGUUAUUCAAACACACGGGCCCGGAUACUGACCCUGCAUCAGUGUGCUUUUAUUUCAAUGUUCAACCUACGGAAAACUAAAUCAUCCCCUUUAAAUCCUAGCCAACUUGCUCAUAUCCACAGAACAUCCUGAACAAGAUCAACCCUUCACAAACCCUUCACGACUUGCUUAAACUUUCAGUUUCGUCCCAUUUCUCUGUUAGGUUAGGGCAACCCUUAAAAAUCUCUGCAGCAGCAGACAAAAUUACAUUCUGUUUUACAAAAAAAAAAAACAAAAAAAAACACAUAUUUCCAAGCCUUCUUAUAACCUUUUACAAAGAACACAUUCUACUUCCCUUCUACACCUUGCAUGUAAAUCUGUUUCUCCAGUAGUCUCAAGUAUGUGUUACGCUGUUAACUCUUAGCAACUUUUAUUUUUGCUGAAAAACCUAGUAAGGAAGCAGUUUUCACCAUGUAUAAGAUUGGAGAGCCCAGGCAAGGAGAUUGCUGCAGAUAAUGUGUGACUCUUCCCAGCCUCACCAGGGGACCUAGCUAACUCCAUGUGUCCCCAGGCCUUCCCUAGAAUCUAAUGGCUAUAAAACAGACAAGUCAAACACUUAUUAAAAGUCAUAGAAGCAGCUUAUGGCCUUAAAGUAUCUAGCAAAUGGUACUAAGCAUUCCUAAUUUAGACCAAAUGGGUAAGCCUCCCAGCAAUCAUCUUUUAACAGUCUUUAUUUUUCAAAGAUUAUCAAUCACAUGACCUAAAAGGCAUUAAAGUUUCUAUUUUCCUGACAGCGUUUGAUUUAAGCACUUGCUUUUCUUUUAUCACUUAACUUUUAUUUUAAGUUCAGGGGUACAUGUGUAGGUUUAUUAUCUAGGUAAACUUGUGUCGUGGGGGUUCAUUGUACAGAUCAUCUCAUCACCCGGGUACUAAGCCCCAGCACCCACUUGUAGGGAAAAGAAAGAGAGAUCAGACUGUUACUGUGUCUAUGUAGAAAGGUAAGACAUAAGAAAUUCCAUUCUGACCUGUACCUUGAACAAUUGUUU